GCGGCUGUAGUAUAGUGGUUAGCACGGCUCGUUGUGGGUCCCUGUUUCUUCAGGAUACUGCUGCCGAGCAGACGGAUGUUCGAUUCCUCCCAGCCGCA
rnacentral:tRNA from 1 species